AGUGAACGCUGGCGGUAGGCCUAACACAUGCAAGUCGAACGGCAGCACAGUAAGAGCUUGUUCUUACCGGUGGCGAGUGGGGGGCGGGUGUGAAAUCCGUGGAAAUCUCCUUUUUCGGGGGGGAACUAGUGGAAAAAGUAACGAUAAUCGCGUAUCGUCCCAAGGGCUGAAAGCGGGGCAUCUGCGCCCCUUGCCCGCUUGAAUGACCCGAUGUGGGAUUAGCUAGUUGGGGGGGUAAAGGCCCACCAAGGCGACGAUCCGUAGCUGGUCUGAGAGGAUGAUCAGCCACACUGGAACUGAGACACGGUCCAGACUCCUACGGGAGGCAGCAGUGGGGAAUAUUGGACAAUGGGCGCAAGCCUGAUCCAGCCAUGCCGCGUGGGUGAAGAAGGCCUUCGGGUUGUAAAGCCCUUUUGUUGGGAAAGAAAAGCAGCAGGUUAAUACCCCGCUGUUUUGACGGUACCCAAAGAAGAAGCACCGGCUAACUUCGUG
rnacentral:rRNA from 1 species